rnacentral:rRNA from 1 species
ACAAUGGGCGCAAGCCUGAUGCAGCCAUGCCGCGUGUAUGAAGAAGGCCUUCGGGUUGUAAAGUACUUUCAGCAGUGAGGAAGGUGGUGCAGUUAAUAGCUGUAUCAUUUGACGUUAGCUGCAGAAGAAGCACCGGCUAACUCCGUGCCAGCAGCCGCGGUAAUACGGAGGGUGCGAGCGUUAAUCGGAAUUACUGGGCGUAAAGCGCAUGCAGGUGGUUUGUUAAGUCAGAUGUGAAAGCCCGGGGCUCAACCUCGGAAUUGCAUUUGAAACUGGCAGACUAGAGUACUGUAGAGGGGGUAGAAUUUCAGGUGUAGCGGUGAAAAUGCGUAGAGAUCUGAAGGAAUACCGGUGGCGAAGGCGGCCCCCUGGACAGAUACUGACACUCAGAUGCGAAAAGCGUGGGGAGCAAACAGGAUUAGAUACCCUGGUAG